UCGUAACAAGGUUUCCGUAGGUGAACCUGCGGAAGGAUCAUUACCGAGUGAGGGCCCUCUGGGUCCAACCUCCCACCCGUGUUUAUUUUACCUUGUUGCUUCGGCGAGCCUGCCUUUUGGCUGCCGGGGGACGUCUGUCCCCGGGUCCGCGCUCGCCGAAGACACCUUAGAACUCUGUCUGAAGAUUGUAGUCUGAGAUUAAAUAUAAAUUAUUUAAAACUUUCAACAACGGAUCUCUUGGUUCCGGCAUCGAUGAAGAACGCAGCGAAAUGCGAUACGUAAUGUGAAUUGCAGAAUUCAGUGAAUCAUCGAGUCUUUGAACGCACAUUGCGCCCUCUGGUAUUCCGGAGGGCAUGCCUGUCCGAGCGUCAUUGCUGCCCUCAAGCACGGCUUGUGUGUUGGGCUCCGUCCUCCUUCCGGGGGACGGGCCCGAAAGGCAGCGGCGGCACCGCGUCCGGUCCUCAAGCGUAUGGGGCUUUGUCACCCGCUUUGUAGGACUGGCCGGCGCCUGCCGAUCAACCAAACUUUUUUCCAGGUUGACCUCGGAUCAGGUAGGGAUACCCGCUGAACUUAAGCAUAUCAAUAA
rnacentral:misc_RNA from 1 species